rnacentral:rRNA from 1 species
CGACAGAAGAAGCACCGGCUAACUCCGUGCCAGCAGCCGCGGUAAUACGGAGGGUGCGAGCGUUAAUCGGAAUUACUGGGCGUAAAGCGCAUGCAGGUGGUUGUUAAGUCAGAUGUGAAAGACCCGGGCGUCAACCUCGGAAAUAGCAUUUGUAAACUGGCAGACUAGAGUACUGUAGAGGGGGGUAGGAAUUUCAGGUGUAGCGGUGAAAUGCGUAGAGAUCUGAAGGAAUACCGGUGGCGAAGGCGGCCCCCUCGGACAGAUACUGACACUCAGAUGCGAAAGCGUGGGGAGCAAACAGGAUUAGAUACCCUGGUAG